rnacentral:rRNA from 1 species
AUUGAACGCUGGCGGCAGGCCUAACACAUGCAAGUCGAGCGGAUGAAGGGAGCUUGCUCCUGGAUUCAGCGGCGGACGGGUGAGUAAUGCCUAGGAAUCUGCCUGGUAGUGGGGGAUAACGUCCGGAAACGGGCGCUAAUACCGCAUACGUCCUGAGGGAGAAAGUGGGGGAUCUUCGGACCUCACGCUAUCAGAUGAGCCUAGGUCGGAUUAGCUAGUUGGUGGGGUAAAGGCCUACCAAGGCGACGACCCGUAACUGGUCUGAGAGGAUGAUCAGUCACACUGGAACUGAGACACGGUCCAGACUCCUACGGGAGGCAGCAGUGGGGAAUAUUGGGCAAUGGGCGAAAGCCUGAUCCAGCCAUGCCGCGUGUGUGAAGAAGGUCUUCGGAUUGUAAAGCACUUUAAGUUGGGAGGAAGGGCAGUAAGUUAAUACCUUGCUGUUUUGACGUUACCAACAGAAUAAGCACCGGCUAACUUCGUG